CAAGCAGUGAAAUCUGGUGAAUAAAAAGAAAGACAACGUGAAAAUAUGAUAUGUGACCGACAUAUAGACCACGGCCGUUAGAUGUGACCGACGGAUGGACCGCGCAAUGUGAUGGUGGCGCGAAAACCAGAGGCACGCAACACAAACGACAGUGACACAUCGCCUAAGUGACGGUGGAAUGCUGCCAAACAAUAGCGCACGAUUCCCAAGGGGGUGGCACGCACUGCCUGAGGUAGUACAUGUAGCCCCAACCUACCAUGCGCUGCAAGCUUAGCCUACCGCACGCACAGGUAUAUGGCAUGCUGGCCUACAUGUGCAACGGUCUUCCCCGCAUCAUUCCUAUAAAAGAAAGGAAGACAGGAGUAAGAGGCUUAAUCUUUGAAAAUAGGACAUUUAUCUUCCCUAGGUACUCUAAAAAGUUUAUCUAUCCUAGGCCUCAGUUCAAGGGAUUUGUUCCGUGAUAACCUGGCUCUGGUACCACCUGUGACAUCCAAGGUGUCAAUUAAGGCAAAUGGGUAUCAGAUACAGAUUCAGAAUAACGAAUGGAUGAUAAUAUUUAUGCAGCGGAAUCAAAUGUUAACAAAUCCCUUACAAAUAUAUAUAGUUUCUAAAUACAUACAUCAGUGAAGCCAGAAGUGGCUACAAAAUACAAACAUAAGGGCCACUUCUUUCACUAUGCUUAUGGAAUUCAUAAGAGUGCAGGAACAGUUAACCACUUAAACUUGUGGAUCCAGGGGAUCCUCAUAGACUUCCAAAGGAAGGUUUGCCUGCAGUUCCUCAUUUUCUUCCUCAUCUAGGGGAGAAUGGAAAGAGUGAGUUCCAUAUGCUCAAUAAGGAAAACAGUAUAAAAUUAACAUUGUAAGAUUUCAAAAGUUUAUUAUUUUAUCUCACCGUUUGGUUUUCUUGUUUACCUAACUCAUCA
rnacentral:lncRNA from 1 species